rnacentral:lncRNA from 1 species
UUUUGAUUUCUGGGUCAGGAAACUCAUUGGAAAGAGUUUGUUAAGAUCUAGGAGGAUUCAAUUAGUAGAACAGGUCUAAUACAAGUGAUGGCUUUUAUUAAUUAGGAUCCAACUAUGUUUUUCUUUGCAGUGAAGCUUUUAAAACGUCAUAAUAAUUAAACAGUAGUCCUAGAUCAGUCUUUCUCUUUAUCAGGGACAUCUCAUAUGUAUACCUUUCUUUGCCUUUGCCUUUUUUUUUUCUUCCCUUUUUCUUUCCUUAAAAUAAUUUCUCCUGAUAUCUCCUUUCAGUCUGUUUUAGCCAGAAGCCCAGCCUUAGCCUCCAUUGGCCCCUGAACCAGUAUGCCAUGUUCUUAGUUUUUUAGCUGUCUAGUUCUGACCUUACCUCUCCCAGUCCACUAAGCUCCUUGACCCCGUCCAUAAACCAACAUGUUUGAGCUGCUCUCCAGGCUGUAUUCAUGGACUCUGUUAGAGGCUCAGUGCUUACCUCUGCCUUUCAGAGGACACAUCCGAUCAGAAUGAGCAGUCCAUGAGGAAAACCACAUCCCUGGAAGGAGGAAGCUAGUCUCAGAAACAGGUCUUCAUCUUGAGUGUGAGCCAAGCAGGGAUUUGGAUGGUCCCCGGACAGGGGUGUCAUAGAUAAAGAUUCAGAUAGCACGUGACUGUGAAAACAGGCUUGGAAACUUGGGCUUGGCAUGGUGGAGCACACCUGUAAUCUGAGCACUUGGGAGCUGGAGGCAGGAGGAUCAGGAGUUCAAGGCCUGCUUAGGAUACUGAGAGACUUUGCAGUCAGCCUGGGCUGCAUAUAACCCUCCCUACCUCGAAUAUACCAACAAGCGUACAAACAAAGGAGGUCAUAAAUAAAACCCCACUGGACAUGGUGGUGUACAGCUUUAAUCCCAGUACUCGUGAGGCAGAGGCAGAUGGAUCUCUAUGAGUCCCAGGUCAAAAAUAAAUGCAUUACUACUAAUAAUGGCUCCCCUCCCUCUUUCUCCCUCCCUCUACUUCUUGCUGGUCUUGAACUUGAUGUGUCUGACGUAAUCUCUUAACCAGAUGGGACUGUAGGCACGUGCUACUGUAUCCACCCUAACUUUUCAUACUAAAGUGAAGCCUUUACAUUUAGGCUCUGGAACAGCUAAAUAGAAAUCUAUGGACAUCUAGGUCUUGGGGGUGGGGAGGGGGAGGUUAAGUGUUUUCCGUGUGAGCAUGACGACCCGGGUUUGGAUUCCCGGAACUUAUAUAAAAAGCCAGCAAUGGCAGUGCACGUUUUUAAUCCCAGGGCUGGUGAGUGGAGAGAGAAAAAGUAGAUUCCUGGGUUCUAGUGGCCAGCCAUUCUAGCUAAAAAAAUGGAGGGCCAUAAGAGAUGCCAGUGAGGACCCCCGCCUCCACAUAGGUACACCCCAUGCAUGACACAUGCGUGCACACAAAAGAAAUCUACUAGCUAAGGUAACCUUUAAACAGUACUAGGUGGGAGCCAAAUAAUUGGGGUAUGUACUGCUGACGGUGGUCCCAGACACAGAACAGAGCAGAAAAAGUUCUGCAUAUUGAAAUAUCAUAGCACUGUGCACUGUCCACACGUUUGCGGCGUUCCUGGCGCAGACAAGCCAAGGGUGCUGUCAACUGUGUAAGAGUACAGCCAUCCAAUUAUGUACAAUACUCGAUAAUAAUAAAUUAACUUUAAAAGAGUUCUUUUCUGGUCUCUGAUCCUUCAGAGUCAUCAAAGGAGAGAGCAAUUCUAUGCAUGUCACUGCCCCUAACUUUUACCUUCCGGGGAAGACAGGAUACAAGGUAGAUGUCGUUGUACUGUUUUUGUUUUCCACUGCCUGGCUAGAAGCCAGAGCCUUGUGCAUGGUAGGUGAGCAUACUAAAAUUGAGUGAAUCUUAGGCUAGCCUUGAAUAUAAGGUGUAACUACACCUACAACUUCAAGUAGUCUUCCUUCUUCUGCCAUCCCUCCCCCCAGGAGCUUGAAUUACAGUUGUACACCACCACACCUGGCUCAGGUAAUAAUAAGCUAGAUCCCACUAGGCUAAUACAUAGGUUUGGAACUUUGUUUUGAACAGUAACAAAAAUUAUUUUUUAAAGUAAAUAACACAGAAGGGAUGGGGCUAUAGCUCAGUUGGGAGAGUGCUUGCCUAGCAUGAACAGGCCCCAGUUGUGAUCCCCAUCUCUACAAAAACCUGGUGCAUGCCUAUAAUCCCAGUACUCAGAAGGCAGAGGCAGAGGCAGAGGCAGAGGAGGCAGAGGCAGAGGAGGCAGAGGCAGAGGCAGAGGAGGCAGAGGCAGAGGAGGCAGAGGCAGAGGAGGCAGAGGCAGAGGCAGAGGAGGCAGAGGCAGAGGAGGCAGAGGCAGAGGAGGCAGAGGAGGCAGAGGAGGCAGAGGCAGAGGAGGCAGAGGCAGAGGAGGCAGAGGCAGAAGCAGAGGCAGAGGCAGAGGCAGAGGCAGAGGCAGAGGCAGAGGCAGAGGCAGAGGCAGAGGCAGAGGCAGAGGCAGAGGCAGAGGCAGAGGCAGAGGCAGGAGGAUCAGAAAUUCAAGGUCAUCUUCAGCUACACAGCAAACUAAGAGGCCAGACUGUCCUAUAGGAGACUAUCCCAAAACGAAACAAAACAGUAACCAAACAACAAACAAAAAAAUGAUCUCACAGAUUAAGCCCAUAAGGAAAAUAAUUUAAAAAUAUUUGUACAAUGUGUUUUAAGUUAGAUGUUAUUACAAGUGUUUUUUUGUCUUUGUUUUGCUUUGUUUUAAAGGCAAGCAUAGUUUGCAUGCCGGUAAUCCUAGCACUAGAAGUACUAGGUGAAGCUAAAUGCCAUUCUUGGCUGCACAGUAAGUGUGAGGGCAGCCUGGGUUACGUAGC